CUAGUAGGCCGGUGACGACGACCGCCGAGCGCCACCCGAACAGGAAGGGGAGCCACCUUCGGUUACGGCAAAAGGUGACCACAGAUGUUAUCUAUAUGCACGGGAGGGAUAAUUCGGCCGAGAACAGUGUGAACCUCAACCCCCUCUGACCGGCUGAAGUAAUGGAGUGUGCCAUGAGUCCACGUGGAGGGAGCAUGGAGAGAGAUCCGUUGUGCAGUUGAGAGGCUUCAGAAGAGGACCAGACGAUCCUGGCAGAAACAGUUUGAAGUUGUGAAGAACAUAUUAUCCGCAUAAUAAAAUGGCUAGAGGAAGUCGCAGUGCCAGUCGUUCUUCGGCACCAACCAGAACUCCCUCGGAGAACCUGAGCCCUAGGACCAUGCCUCAGGACUACCUGGCCUGAUG